rnacentral:rRNA from 1 species
AGGCCUUCGGGUUGUAAACUGCUUUUGUACGGAACGAAAAGGCUCGCUUUAAUACAGUGGGCCCAUGACGGUACCGUAAGAAUAAGCACCGGCUAACUACGUGCCAGCAGCCGCGGUAAUACGUAGGGUGCGAGCGUUAAUCGGAAUUACUGGGCGUAAAGCGUGCGCAGGCGGUGAUGUAAGACAGUUGUGAAAUCCCCGGGCUCAACCUGGGAAUUGCAUCUGUGACUGCAUCGCUAGAGUACGGUAGAGGGGGAUGGAAUUCCGCGUG